UGGGGUAUCGCCAAGCGGUAAGGCAACGGGUUUUGAUCUCGUCAUGCCAACGGGUUUUGAUCUCGUCAUGCGUAGGUUCGAAUCCUUCUACCCCAACCA
rnacentral:tRNA from 1 species